CGGACGGGAUCUGCACGGAGC
rnacentral:miRNA from 1 species